ensembl:snoRNA
GAUUUAUAAUAAUGUACAAAGGGAUGCAUAAAGGAUAACACAGACACCGAAUUUUAGAUAUGGGAGUGUUAAAAUCAAUGCUUCAUAUAGAGGUAUGUGUGCUCACUGUAAGGGCAGACCAACAGGAAUAUUGUCCUACUUUUGAACUGCCUUUCUUAGGAGGGGUGGUUCUUCCAGUUGCCAGAGAGAAAUUGUGGUAACUGGCAUGAGAGUGGGAACAGAGAUAUUCAAGGUAUCAGGUCAGGGGUCUCAAAGGACUUGGCUAAGUUGUGACCACUGAGAGAUGAAACACAGAUCUUUGGUAAUCUGAUGGCU